CGGUAUUUUGACCGUGCGAAGGUAGCGCAAUCACUUGUCUUUUAAAUGGAGACCUGUAUGAAUGGCAUAACGAGGGCUUAACUGUCUCCUCUUUCAAGUCAAUGAAAUUGAUCUUCCCGUGCAGAAGCGGGAAUACAAACAUAAGACGAGAAGACCCUAUGGAGCUUUAGACACUAAGGAGGGCCAUGUUAAACACCCUAAAUUAAAGGAUUAAACCACAAUGAACCCUACCCUAAUGUCUUUGGUUGGGGCGACCGCGGGGAAUUAAAUAACCCCCACGUGGAAUGGGAGAACCCCUCCUACAACUAAGAGCUACAGCUCUAGUAAACAGAACAUCUGACCAGUAAGAUCCGGCAAUGCCGAUCAACGGACCGAGUUACCCUAGGGAUAACAGCGCAAUCCUCUUUUAGAGCCCAUAUCGACAAGGGGGUUUACGACCUCGAUGUUGGAUCAGGACAUCCUAAU
rnacentral:rRNA from 1 species